rnacentral:rRNA from 1 species
UGGGGAAUAUUGCACAAUGGAGGGAACUCUGAUGCAGCAACGCCGCGUGCGGGAUGACGGCCUUCGGGUUGUAAACCGCUUUCAGCCAUGACGAAGCUUUUGUGACGGUAGUGGUAAAAGAAGCACCGGCUAACUACGUGCCAGCAGCCGCGGUGAUACGUAGGGUGCGAGCGUUGUCCGGAAUUAUUGGGCGUAAAGAGCUUGUAGGCGGUUUGUCGCGUCGAUAGUGUAAACACGCAGCUUAACUGUGUGCCUGCUGUCGAUACGGGCUGACUAGAGGAGGGUAGGGGAGAAUGGAAUUCCCGGUGGAGCGGUGGAAUGCGCAGAUAUCGGGAGGAACACCAGUGGCGAAGGCGGUUCUCUGGACCUUUCCUGACGCUGAGAAGCGAAAGCGUGGGUAGCAAACAGG